GGCGUGCUUAACACAUGCAAGUCGAACGAUGAAGCCCUUCGGGGUGGAUUAGUGGCGAACGGGUGAGUAACACGUGGGCAAUCUGCCCUGCACUCUGGGACAAGCCCUGGAAACGGGGUCUAAUACCGGAUAUGACCGUCCAUCGCAUGGUGGAUGGUGUAAAGCUCCGGCGGUGCAGGAUGAGCCCGCGGCCUAUCAGCUAGUUGGUGAGGUAGUGGCUCACCAAGGCGACGACGGGUAGCCGGCCUGAGAGGGCGACCGGCCACACUGGGACUGAGACACGGCCCAGACUCCUACGGGAGGCAGCAGUGGGGAAUAUUGCACAAUGGGCGAAAGCCUGAUGCAGCGACGCCGCGUGAGGGAUGACGGCCUUCGGGUUGUAAACCUCUUUCAGCAGGGAAGAAGCGAAAGUGACGGUACCUGCAGAAGAAGCGCCGGCUAACUACGUGCCAGCAGCCGCGGUAAUACGUAGGGCGCAAGCGUUGUCCGGAAUUAUUGGGCGUAAAGAGCUCGUAGGCGGCUUGUCACGUCGGUUGUGAAAGCCCGGGGCUUAACCCCGGGUCUGCAGUCGAUACGGGCAGGCUAGAGUUCGGUAGGGGAGAUCGGAAUUCCUGGUGUAGCGGUGAAAUGCGCAGAUAUCAGGAGGAACACCGGUGGCGAAGGCGGAUCUCUGGGCCGAUACUGACGCUGAGGAGCGAAAGCGUGGGGAGC
rnacentral:rRNA from 1 species